rnacentral:sRNA from 1 species
AUCCGCCUGCCUCGGCCUCCCAAAGUGCUGGGAUUACAGGCGUGAGCCACUGCGCCGGGCCCUCAAAAGGAGCCUUUUCACAUGGGAGGGCUGUGCCGACUCUCACCACCUUCCUGUUCAACAUCUGUCCUGUUUCCUUGUUUUCCUUCAGAUGGAGUUUUGUCUUGUUUAUUACCCGAGAGCCCGUAGGUGUGCCUCCCAAAGGGCCCUCCUGCAGACCAGAGCAAGCUCCUCUAGGCCAAGCCGGGGCGCCACCAGCACGUGCCCUUCUGCUGGAACCGGGAGGUCUAGAGCCAGGCCCAGAACAAUCUGUGAUUUCUUGUGUUUUUACUUGACUUGGUGGUUUCUCUUUUGCCAAAAGGUCCUUACUUGCCGAAGUCAAGUAAGGACAUCUGAAGGCUGUUUGUACCAAAUACUUUUCAAAAGCCCAGGCCUGGUCUCCUCACAGCUUCCUAUGGCAGUGCUCUCCCCCCUCCCAGUGCUAUGCGCUGGGCAACUUGGGGUGCCCCCCGUGAGGCCAAGGGAGGACCCUGGGGUCGAGUUUCCUUCGGGGGCAUUGUGUGGAGGGGCAGGCAGCUCGCUCCAACUGCUGGGAGUAGGGGAAUCCCAGCUCUGCCCAUCCCUGCCAAGUUGGGGUUGUGUGUGGAUCUUGGUGUUAAUUCUUGCUUCCUUCUCUGCUUCUGCCAUGCUUCCAAGCAGCAGCUACUCCAUCCGCCACUCAAUAAGUAUGCCAGCCAUGAGGUAAUGUAUGCCUGCUCGCUGCGGCUCCAGAGCCGGGUGUCUCUGGUGGGGGUUGGGGCGGCUCCCGCCGGUUACACCUUGCCCUUCCCAUAUUCCUGGAUUAAUUGAGGACUCCAUUCCCUUGGCAACCUCUGAUGGCUAAGGGCUGGUAAAGACCCCCUCUAGGCUGACGAGGAAGAGCUGGUAGGGGGUCAGGCUCUUCACCUGCAGCCUCCAGAGGAGAUCCUUGUGUCAAACUGGGCCGUGUCCUUUCCAAGUCCUGACCCUGGCUGCCUGCAGUGGGUGGGGUGGGGUUCGAGGGGCUCGCACACAGAUCCUGGCACUUGCCCUGGUGGGCUGUCACUCAGGACACUUCACGGUCUCAGCCUUCACGGAAACACCCAGAGCUGUGGUCCUUAUUCUGUGCCUGUCAGGCACCACCCUGAUUCUCAGGAUUCUGUGCCUGUGCCGUGAGGCACUGCCCUGAUUCUCAGGAGAGCCCAGAACUGUGGUCCCUAUUCUGUGCCUGCGCCGUCAGGCACCGUCCUGAUUCUCAGGAGAGCCCUGUUCUCCUUGUGGGGACUCUGGCUGGGUGUCGCAGACGUGCUGGCCUCUAGAGGCCCCGGGCCUGGGAGGGGUAUCUGUUUGUGUGGGAGGGACUGAGUGGGAUGGAGCUGGCCUGCUUUCUCCUCUUGUCUCCUUAUCACUCUGCUGUCCCAGAAGUGUCCUUGGUCUUCCGUUCACUUCUCUGAGAGAUGUGCAUGAAGAACUGCACAGACUUUUCAUAACCUCAGUACAAGAGCCCAGGGUGUCCCUGUAGGGGACAGCAGAGAGGGGCCGACAGCCCCCCAACUGCACAGACUUUUCAUAACCUCAGUACCAGAGCCCGGGGUGUCUCUGUAGGGGACAGCAGAGAGGGGCCGACAGCCCCCCAACUGCACAGACUUUUCAUAACCUCAGUACGAGAGCCCGGGGUGUCCCUGUAGGGGACAGCAGAGAGGGGCCGACAGCCCCCCAACUGCACAGACUUUUCAUAACCUCAGUACGAGAGCCCGGGGUGUCCCUGUAGGGUAUGACAGAGAGGGGCCGACAUCUCCCCAGCUGCACAGUCAAGGGGUUUCCAGUUGCCUUGUGUGACGUCUGGACCUGUCCCUGUGGUUUUUGGGCAUGGCUGACCUCACUUUUGACCUGGGGAGUCUCCGGAAUGACCUGGCUGUCUCACAGUUUUGCCAUGAGAUCUUGGGAUGUUGUUAGGGACCCUUUGGAGGCUGGCCCUAACCCUGAGGCCCUUCCGAGUUAGGAGAGCAGCACAACCCUCUCCUCUUGACACCGACACUCUUCCCUCUCUCUUUAAAGGAACUCUGCGACCUUCAAGUCGUUUGAGGACCGAGUUGGGACCAUAAAGUCUAAGGUUGUGGGUGACAGAGAGAACGGCAGUGACAACCUCCCUUCCUCAGCGGGGAGUGGUGACAAGCCCCUGUCGGAUCCCGCACCUUUCUAAGCCUGUGGUUGCUUCACCCGCUGCAGAGCACACGCAACCCAGCCUCAGCAUCACAGCCGCAGCUCUGUUCAGCGGAGCAGCCAGCCAGGGCGGAUGAGCAGAGCCGGCCCUGAGGACAGUCCUGCCCAUCCACGCGGAGAUGUGGCUGCCGCGUUCGCAUGAAUUUGAAGAACACAGGCUUGUACACAGAUGUUUUACACUCACGUUUGUAGAUGAAACAGAUCACUGUGCUGUCCUUCCUAGGGGUGCAGGAAGUGGACAGGGCGGAGGGUUUGAAAGAAUAUUGAGCCAAAGCCCAGGCUCCCUUUGGGAAUCAUGUUGGCCCAUCAGAAUGUUGAAGGAUUGAAGAGUUCUAAGCAUAAAAUAAGUGGCAUCCUCCUCCUCCUUCCCUGACUCACAGAAGGAAUGCAAUCACCCAGCAAGUCCUACCUGUUACGCAAUUUUUUAUCUCAAAAUGCCGAACGGGAAAACUGUCCAUUUUCUGAGACCCCCAGAAAGGAAACUGACCCUCAGCAGCUGCCUGAUUGUUACGCGAAUCUAGCUUUAACGGAAGCAAAUUCAUUAUUUUUUAAAUGCAGUGGACUUUUCAAAAAGUUUAAAUUAGGCAAAGCAGCUUUAGCCUCAUAGAAUAUUAUUUCUUUGGACUCAAGCUGAAAUACAAGCCUUACAUUGCCUUAUGCUUUAUUUCUUUCUAAUUUUUAUAUGUAUAUAGACGAGGGUUCCUUAAUGGUUGUGAGCAUUGUGUGGAAUUUUACACCUGGCCUGCGUGGCAGCCUCUUCCAGUUGAGGUGUUUUAUUUCACGCACACUCCAUCCCAGUGUACAAAACCUGCUUCUCUUCUCAACCGUGGCAGCUCCCGCUGGCUCCCGUGCCCUGCCCUAAAGGGCUCUUGAGCCUCUGGGAAUGGGAGGGGCCAAGAGAAGGAAAACCCUGUCUUUAGCACCCUUUAAAAGAACUGUGCCCCCUUCUCAGUGCUGCCUUUGCAUGGGCCUGGCCCGACUCGCAUUCAUCAGUGACUCCAACCCUCCUGCUUGCUGUACUUGGGAUGAAACGACCCCACAGGUCAGGUGGAGGGUGGGGCGUGGGCAUCAGCCAGGAUUGCUGUUGUCUUUUUCUCAGGAGCUACAAAGAUCUCUUCCCGUUACUAAAUGGUCACACCCCAGCAGCCUCUGUCGCACACCAGGGCCCUGCAUGUCCGAUGGCGUGGUCUGCAGGGGGAGCUCUGUGCCUUAGUGGCUCUUGGCAGGACACUGAGGGCCUGCCUGUGGUGUGCCCGGCUCUGCCACUCCCGGGAGAGGAAGGGCUGCUCAGCUCAAGGUGUCCUGUUCGGUAGAGCAAGUGUCCUCUGACAGCCGUGUCCCCGGACAGUUCAGACACCCUUGGGGAUGGCACUCCACACACGACAGAGAUGCAGGGGCCAGGGAAGCCCAGUGCUCGGCGCCCUUCGUCCAGGGUUAAAAUCGGCCUGUGGGGUGUGGUGAGAAGGCAGGUUGUGCGGGUGUUGACCGAUGUAUCUUUUCCUUAAAGUUAUUAUAAUAAUGGGUAAUUUGUCAAUAAAGCAUUCCUUUGGGGGAAAGUCCGCC